GAUGAACGCUGGCGGCGUGCCUAAUACAUGCAAGUCGAGCGAACGGACGAGAAGCUUGCUUCUCUGAUGUUAGCGGCGGACGGGUGAGUAACACGUGGAUAACCUACCUAUAAGACUGGAAUAACUUCGGGAAACCGGAGCUAAUACCGGAUAAUAUUUUGAACCGCAUGGUUCAAAAGUGAAAGACGGUCUUGCUGUCACUUAUAGAUGGAUCCGCGCUGCAUUAGCUAGUUGGUAAGGUAACGGCUUGCCAAGGCAACGAUGCAUAGCCGACCUGAGAGGGUGAUCGGCCACACUGGAACUGAGACACGGUCCAGACUCCUACGGGAGGCAGCAGUAGGGAAUCUUCCGCAAUGGGCGAAAGCCUGACGGAGCAACGCCGCGUGAGUGAUGAAGGUCUUCGGAUCGUAAAACUCUGUUAUUAGGGAAGAACAUAUGUGUAAGUAACUGUGCACAUCUUGACGGUACCUAAUCAGAAAGCCACGGCUAACUACGUG
rnacentral:rRNA from 1 species